rnacentral:tRNA from 1 species
GCUCAGUUGGUUAAGUGUCAGACUCUUGGUUUCAGCUCAAGUCAUGAUCUCACGAUUUUUGUGGGUUCGAACCCUGCAUUGGGCU